rnacentral:misc_RNA from 1 species
CUAUCGUGGCUCGCUCCCGUUCGGGAAAACCUGAUAGACAUGCUACUGUGACCGCUCACAUCGGUGCGUGUUCUUUCAGGGACAAGACACGAUCACGUGCGCCGAUGUACGCAAACGGACUGCCUCGCGUACGCAUACACAUGUGCGCUUCUACCUGCUCGUCUUCAGCACUUUUUUCGCUUGAACUGAUAUGCACACCCCGACAUGUGACUUUUGGCCUCCCUCAGUGCCCUUCUCCGUAACACUGCCAAUACGCGCAACGCCACAGUUUCUCUGUCGGCUCUUGGCUGUCGAUGUAGUUGCCCCACUGACGGUCAUUGCGAUGCUUCGGCUCCACACACGCCCCACCCGAACUCACCCACGUGGCAUCCUCUAUUCAGAACCCUGACUUCGGCUAGCACGAAAAACGCUACAAUCGUAGAUGGUUGUAUUCGUGCGAUGGCGGUCGCCACGGAACCGGGCGGCUCUGGCAUACCCGAAGCACUUCCCUCUAACUGUUGAGUGCAUGCAUGCUUAGCCCUUUCUGGCGAGCAAUGAUCACCCGAGACGAAGGGAUGCUAGCGAAAAACGCAAGACGGCUUAGUGCCAAUGCACCCUUGAACCAAUAUAUGUCCGCACACACACGCGUUCCCGAGGGCGCGAGCAGGAUCCUGGAUGGUUUCCGUCGCCAAGUGUCCAGUGUGCGGAAAGAAUCGUUUUGUGUCUUGCUAGGAGAGGUCAACGCAUGUCUUUCAGGAGGCGCUGCGCAGUAGAGGGCGCGCGGUGUUUAACUGAAUUGCGUUGGACUACGAGAAGGAUCCGCGCGAGGUGCGCUUCUUCACCCUUGCCGAG